GCGGGCGUAGUUCAGUGGUUUAAGAACGUCUGCUUGCCAAGCAGAAGGUCGUGGGUUCGAAUCCCAUCGCCCGCU
rnacentral:tRNA from 1 species